ACUCAAAGGAAUAGACGGGGACCCGCACAAGCGGUGGAGCAUGUGGUUUAAUUCGACGCAACGCGAAGAACCUUACCUGGAUUUGACAUCCUCUGACAUCCAUAGAAAUAUGGCUUUUUAUGCUUGCAUAAACAGAGUGACAGGUGCUGCAUGGCUGUCGUCAGCUCGUGUCGUGAGAUGUUGGGUUAAGUCCCGCAACGAGCGCAACCCUUGUUUUUAGUUGCCAUUAUUAAGUUAGGCACUCUAAAAAUACUGCCUCGGUUAACGGGGAGGAAGGUGGGGAUGACGUCAAGUCCUCAUGGCCUUUAUAUCCAGGGCUACACACGUGCUACAAUGGGCUGUACAAAGAGUUGCCACUUCGCGAGAAGGAGCUAAUCUCAAAAAGCAGUUCUCAGUUCGGAUUGAAGUCUGCAACCCGACUUCAUGAAGUUGGAAUCGCUAGUAAUCGUGGAUCAGCAUGCCACGGUGAAUACGUUCCCGGGUCUUGUACACACCGCCCGU
rnacentral:rRNA from 1 species